UACGAACUGUGCGAACGUUAUUCGGAAUCACUGGGCUUAAAGGGUGCGUAGGCGGUCCGCCCAGUCAGGUGUGAAAUCCCCCGGCUCAACCGGGGAAUAGCGCUUGAAACUAGCGGGCUGGAGUGAGGCAGGGGUGUGUGGAACUUCCGGUGGAGCGGUGAAAUGUGUAGAUAUCGGAAGGAACGCCGGUGGCGAAAGCGGCACACUGGGCCUUGUCUGACGCUGAGGCACGAAAGCUAGGGGAGUGAACGGG
rnacentral:rRNA from 1 species